CAUUGUCUAUUAGAAAAAAAGAUCCCCGGAAGGGAAUAGUACAAAAUUUACUUCUGAUUCGAUCGACCGCGUGUUUUCAUUCGGCCGUUUGCUGUUUUCAAGGGAAUGAUUCGAAAAAUGACUGGAAUUUGUUAUAAUAUUGUGUAUCGCAAUACGACCGAAAAGAAACAACUCGUGUGUAACGUUUUGUAUAUGUUACGGAAAAAUAUUUAGGUCUCGUGUGUUUAAAAAUCGUAGUCAUGUUUAGGAUAUUCUGGGUGUUUAUAGUAGACUAUAGAGAAAGACGGUCGUUGGUCGGACAUUCAUACAGUCUGUCCACGACCAUUUAGUG